AUAGGCUUAUAUUCCUCGCAAGAGAAAUAUAAACGAUUAUAUUUCCUCAUCGUCCGAACAAAAUAUAAGAUGUAACGAAUAUGUAAUUAAACAUUUUCCAAGUUACGGAAUCAUUCAUAUAACUCUAUCAAAUACAACUGCAGACAUUAUUAAUCCUAGCGUAUAUAUUGUAUGUUUAUAUACGACUUAUAAAAAAUAGCAUCAAUAUCCAAUUCAUUUGAUAUACAGUAUCGCUCAAUCCAGCACUCUGGAAAAAAACAUGACAAAAUAAUUAAAUCGGUCACUAGUGAAACAAUUUUUGCAAAAACCCAACAAUAAACAAAAAUCUGGACAAACAUGCAAAGUGUAAAGAUAAUCAAAGAGCUGACGUCUGCAAUUGUCAUAUGAGAAGUUAAAUGAAACAGACUUGAGCAUAUCACCAAUAUGCUGCCGAAAAAUUGGACAAAGAUCACUUGGCUGAAUAUGUUG